ACCGAUGUUGCAUCUUUCCUCUGCAGCGCCAAACCAAUCUCGGGCCAAAUCCCUAACCAGUCCGGCUGGCUUUGGUCAUGAGUCCCUAGUGCCCAGUGCCUGGGCCCUGAUGAUCAUGACGCUGCUAAAUGUUGCCGGUGGUGCCCAGCAUGGGGCAGGGGCAGCCGGUUGAGUCUGUGGUGCUGUCCCCCCUCCUCAGUCCUCAGCGCUUGUUUGCAACAAGUAACGAGCAGAGGAAUCUGUAUGGACGCACAUACAUAUCUGCGGCAGUGUUUGCCGGGCCAAAGACUUGCUUACCUGCGGAGGCCGAGCUACCUGUGUCCAGGUAGGCGUAUGCAUGUGUGCCUAUGCCCUAUCCACAUCCUUCGUCUCUGCAGUGGAUGCAGCAGCCAGCGGUCAGCGGAGGCAGCGCAGCAUCGGCAGCGAACCAUCAUUAUGUUCAGGUUUUGAUGCCCCCCGUUCCCAUCCAGCACGCGAUAAAUCUCCGGCUUACAAUCAGGAGAAAUGCUGCCAGAACAAAAGCCCACAUCCAUUGCGAUGACUUCGGCUUGCCGGUGAUUUGAAUAGCCACAGUUCUAGUGCCACAAAAAGAACGAUGCUGCCAGUGGUCCCUGACCCUCGUCGUAAUCAAAGACGGCCAGUGAAUCAACCGAGGAGGGGGGCUAUUUUUGUAAAACCCCAACUCGACUUGCUCAUUAUUUUGCCGCUUUUUGGCUGGUCAUCGCUCUCAAGUGGCUCAUUCGGGUCGAGAUUGAUUCGAAAGAAAGGUGCAGAGAAAGUGUUACAAGCUACUCGGCUUUCAGAUACUCAUUACACAGCUAAAGGAAGGAAGGCAAAAUUAUUAAUUAAUGAUAGAAAUAACUAAUUCGAAACGAUAUCAAAAUAUUUAAAAAGCUAAUGUAUUUGUAUAUGAGUUUUUAAAGGUGUACUGAUUUUUUGUUAGGGGAAAUGAAUUGACUUGUCUCUCUGGUCGCUUGUGCUCGGAUCGUCUGCGAUUGAUGGAAAAGUUUUCGGCUUAAUUUUACCAGGCAGCUGGUACAGUUUUGAUAAUGGCCAAGAUACUUUGUGGUCAUUUGGAUGUGGCUUAAAGUUGUAUAUAUAUAGGUAUACUCUGCGAAACGUUGAAGACAUUUCAUCUAGUCACUAAAUCUUACUCAACUGUCACUCGAUUUAGAAGCUGUUUUGUUUACUGAAAAUUUUCAUCCUGUACGCAUUUGCAAAAUGUUUGUGCCAAACUAAAUGUCUCGAAACAUUCAGUGCAUUCUUUUUAACUAUAUUUUCAUAUG
ensembl:ncRNA lncRNA:CR44677 long non-coding RNA:CR44677